UCUUCUCCCUCCCAUCCCAUGUCCCCGACGGAAGCUCAGAAAAAAUGUCCUGGACGGAACACGACGGCCGCCACGGCCGGAGAGAGUCCGGCGAGCGGCAGCGGCGUCGGUGGGCGGUCCUAGGAGAUGGGGACGGCCGCUGAAAUCCCGAAGACGCCUCCAUCCCUCGCGGCCCUCCUCGUCGCUCAUGGCGUCGACGGCACGUACCUCCAUCGGUUCGGGAAUGGCAGCAGCUAGUCGAGGGAGAAGAUGGCUGACGAAGUGUAUGGGUCAGGGCCGACCCCGUCCGCCGGAGGAUCUGCCGCUGCGUCCUGCUGUCGCCUUCUUCUUCUGGAAGGCAGCUUCAGUACGCACAUGGAGGCUGUGGGCGUAAGGUGCUCGAGGAAAUGCCUCUUGCAAAUCCUCGCCGCCGGCGGUACCAUCCCCUGGGUAAUGGCAGAGGAAGUGGUUGACUUGACUUCUUCCUGUGGAUUUCCAUGGUCUGGUGCUGGGCUUCGGUCCGUUGCUGGACGUUCUUUCAACCCGGAGACCGUCCGGCUCUAUCAGAUCAUGCAUGAAGCAGGCGUGUUUCACCUUGAUUAAGCAACUCAAACACCAAAUCAUCCAGAGCUACUGGUCGAUGCCUAUCGUUUUUGCGCCUGCAGCAACAAUCGCCAUCAUCGGCGUGUCCGCCACCGACUCAAUCUGCAUCCCCAGGAUCGGUAAUGCUCCCCCUCUCAACACUCAGCCAAUUUCCCAUACAAGGAUUGGAGAAUGCUGUGAACUUCAGUAAGGACUGUACGACCACACCAUGUCAGGGGGGAAGAUAAACCACACGGACCACAGUUCAGUAAGAGCUCUGGGCGGGGAAUGCAAUUAGGGACGAUAGAAUCACCAAGGUUUUGGGACAGGAUUACGGUCGGGAUUUGCGGCUUGCGGGGUGGUUAUGCAGUUCUUAAUGGCUUGAAGUACACUUCCUCUCACGUGUGGGUCAAGAACGACAUCUCCGUGGCCACAAUUGGCAUCAGUGACCACACCCAGGUUAAAAAAAUUAUCACGCCGUUUUUACCUAUUAGAAAUAUUUCUCAAAUAUGAUGCAAAUUUACCUAUUCUGUACCUGGACGGCUGGGUGAUUUUCUAACUGAUUGCCCCAGAUGAUAUUUUCCCGUAGUUUUUCAACAUUCAAAGUCAUUGACCAUCAUCGAGGUAUCUAACAGAGGACCUGCUAAUGUCGUUGAGACAUAUUUUCUACUUUUUCGUGUAUGCUCCUGUAUCACAUACAUUUUUCAUAUCUAUGAACAUGUGCGCCCAUAUGCUUAAGUUACUUGGAACUUUACAUGCUAAAACCAUAUCCUCCUGUCCCCGCAAAAACUAAAUAAAUAAAACCAUAUCCUCUUUGUGUGUAAUUUUCUUGAAAUGAUAAGCCCAUCAUGCUAGGGUUCAUGGUAAAUACUUCCUCUGUUUCAAAUUAUAGGAUGUUUAGGUAGGUUAAAAUGGCCUAACAAAACGUCUUAUAAUUUGGGACGGACGUAGUAGUACAUCGUCAUGCCUGCUAGAGACAAGCAUAGUGCAUUAUAUUGUCCAGUGAAAUUUGUAGUCCAAUUUCAACCAAUUGUAUUUUUAUUUGCAGGAACUGAAUGAUAAUGUUGCAAAUCAUAUGUGUGAGCAUGGAACAAUGCAACAAUGCUAUUCACUUAUCGUCCAGGAAGUUUGGAUAGCAUCCUAUUUCCUCACGGAGUUGCAGAGAUCUAAAGGAUAUGGUUUCAAGUACAUGUGACACCGGAGAAGAUGAGCUAUGAGGAAUUUGGACCGGUGUACCAACAAGCACCAUCAUGAGGCAAAGAGUUGCACAUUCGGAUAAGCCGGAGUUAGUCGUACAAUAAAAUGGUAGAUAUGUCAUUGGAUUAGAUAACAAUAAAUAUUAAGAUCUUAGGUAUUUUCCGCAACAACCUUUAUUCAUAUAAAUAAAGAGUAACUCCGUUUUGUUUUUU